UAUUAAUUUGCAAAACAUUUCACCGAAGGCAGUUUUCAAAACCUUGUACAGUUAAGCAGGAUUUGCUAAGCUGCUGUUACUGAAACGAGGGGCUGUUCCGACCGUAAGGUCAUCACAACCGCAUGCUGUUUUAUCUAGCAGCCAUGCACUUUAAUGAGAAUGCUGAGUCCCCACAACAGAAGACAGCCAAGGAGAAACUAUGUACAGACUUGCCAAACAAUUUAUCAUCAAAGACCCUCUUCCUUAUUGGGAUGUCGUCCAGCGGAUUCCUGUGCCCCAGGACUUGUGUGCUCAGCUUGACAGACCUUCCA